rnacentral:rRNA from 1 species
AACGAACACUGGCGGCGUGGAUUAGGCAUGCAAGUCGAACGAGAAAGCUCCCUUCGGGGAGUGAGUACAGUGGCGAACGGGUGAGUAACGCGUGGGAAACCUGCCCUUCUGCGGGGGAUAACAGUUCUAACGAGCUGCUAAUACCGCAUACGACCUUUGGAUCUCAUGAUCCGGAGGUGAAAGAUGGCCUCUCUUUGAAGCUGUCACGGAAGGAUGGUCCCGCGUCCCAUUAGCUUGUUGGUGGGGUAAUGGCCUACCAAGGCGACGAUGGGUAGCUGGUCUGAGAGGAUGAUCAGCCACACUGGGACUGAGACACGGCCCAGACUCCUACGGGAGGCAGCAGUGGGGAAUUUUCCGCAAUGGGCGACAGCCUGACGGAGCAACGCCGCGUGAGGGAUGAAGGCCUCUGGGCUGUAAACCUCUUUUAUCAAGGAAGAAGAUCUGACGGUACUUGAUGAAUAAGCCACGGCUAAUUCCGUG